UACGGAGGGGGCUAGCGUUGUUCGGAAUUACUGGGCGUAAAGCGCACGUAGGCGGCUUUGUAAGUUAGAGGUGAAAGCCCAGGGCUUAACCCUGGAAUUGCCUUUAAGACUGCAUCGCUAGAAUUGUGGAGAGGUAAGUGGAAUUCCGAGUGUAGAGGUGAAAUUCGUAGAUAUUCGGAAGAACACCAGUGGCGAAGGCGACUUACUGGACACGUAUUGACGCUGAGGUGCGAAAGCGUGGGGAGCGAACAGGA
rnacentral:rRNA from 1 species